GACGAACGCUGGCGGCGUGCCUAAUACAUGCAAGUCGAGCGCAGGAAGCUGGCGGAACUCUUCGGAGGGAAGGCAGUGGAAUGAGCGGCGGACGGGUGAGUAACACGUAAGGAACCUGCCUCAAGGAUUGGGAUAACUCCGAGAAAUCGGAGCUAAUACCGGAUAGUUCAUUGGACCGCAUGGUCCGGUGAUGAAAGGCGCCUCGGCGUCACCUUGAGAUGGCCUUGCGGUGCAUUAGCUAGUUGGUGGGGUAACGGCCCACCAAGGCGACGGUGCAUAGCCGACCUGAGAGGGUGAUCGGCCACACUGGGACUGAGACACGGCCCAGACUCCUACGGGAGGCAGCAGUAGGGAAUCUUCCACGAUGGACGAAAGUCUGAUGGAGCAACGCCGCGUGAGUGAUGAAGGUUUUCGGAUCGUAAAACUCUGUUGUAAGGGAAGAACACGUACGAGAGGUAAUGCUCGUACCUUGACGGUACCUUACGAGAAAGCCACGGCUAACUACGUGCCAGCCGCCGCGGUAA
rnacentral:rRNA from 1 species